GAUGAACGCUGGCGGCGUGCUUAACACAUGCAAGUCGAACGAUGAAGCCCAGCUUGCUGGGUGGAUUAGUGGCGAACGGGUGAGUAACACGUGAGUAACCUGCCCUUAACUCUGGGUUAAGCCUGGGAAACUGGGUCUAAUACCGGAUAGGAGCGCCUACCGCAUGGUGGGUGUUGGAAAGAUUUAUCGGUUUUGGAUGGACUCGCGGCCUAUCAGCUUGUUGGUGAGGUAAUGGCUCACCAAGGCGACGACGGGUAGCCGGCCUGAGAGGGUGACCGGCCACACUGGGACUGAGACACGGCCCAGACUCCUACGGGAGGCAGCAGUGGGGAAUAUUGCACAAUGGGCGAAAGCCUGAUGCAGCGACGCCGCGUGAGGGAUGACGGCCUUCGGGUUGUAAACCUCUUUCAGUAGGGAAGAAGCGAAAGUGACGGUACCUGCAGAAGAAGCACCGGCUAACUACGUG
rnacentral:rRNA from 1 species